CUAUUUAUCUUGAAAACACCAUACAUCCAGAGAAUGCCAGACUUUGACGAUAUUGUUUGAUGACAAAAUUGGACCGUGAAGGACCGACUCCACCUUCCUGUUCAAGUGAGCACAGCACAACAAGGUUGAACCUUGGAAUCUACAGGAACAUGGAGCACUCCGUGCCGGUGCUACAGAGACAGGCUCGUCCAAGGACAUCCAGAGCCUUUUGACCAACCACCUGCGAUCUCUCCGGAGCACAGAGAAGUGAGUCUACUGGUCUAUGGAACUCUAGAGCAGCACAUCACAAAACCUGCCACCCUGUUGUCAGCUAUCCACAGACUUUCAAUGGCCACAUUUUGGGGAUGGCCAAAUGCAAUAAAAUGUUCUAUAAACAAGUCACUCAUAUUGUAAGAUUACAAAAGAAAAACUCUGAGGGUAUUUGUCAUGUCGGUUUUCACAUUUUUACAAAACUUCUGUGAUAACUUAAACAUCAAGACAAAUACACUUCAAAGGUCUAAAAUAAAUGCAAGUAUCAUGUCCAGAGUGAAUAUAUUUGUAUUAAUGUAUAUCAUACAGGUGUCUCAACUAAAAUAUAUAUCCCAGACAAAAUUAAGGAAUGGGACAAAGUGAAUAUAAGUCUGUGCUUGCGUACUUAGCAGUUUGUAUGAAUUUGAGUGGCUACAUUCGGUACAUGUUGACAGAUUGGCUGUGAGACAGAGAGACUGUUGCUGUACUCCCAGGUAAGCCCCUUGCUUCCGGAACAACCCCACUAUUCAGUCAGGAAGCUUAAUAAAGAAGAUGUGUGUCACUAUCCAAGCCCAUGUCACAGCACGCAGUGGCCUGAUAGGGAGAUGACAAUAAACGUAUUAUGUACCUUUCAUCUCCAAAGUCAUGUUCACAGUACAUGUUGCUGAACAAUUCAACCCGUUUUGUUAGUGUCAUUUAUAUGGAAAUUCACAUACAAAUAUUCAGUUCUUAAGCUCUGACUGUAAUACCUAUAGGGUCCAGUGGUGAAAGACUGCUGUGCAAGGUAUUGGGGCAACAGCAUUCUUCCAUGUCCCGUAUUU